GGGAUGGUGACUUUGCCACCUCCCUGGGCAGCCUGUUCCAGUGCCUGACCACUCUUUUGGAGAAGGUUUUCCUAUGCCCAACCUGCAUCACCUCUAACACAACUUGAGUCCGUUCCCUAUAAUCUUAUAUAGUUCUGAGGAAGGAUGACACUCACCUGGCCACAACCUCCUUUCAGGUAAUUGCAGAAAGCAAUAAUGUCUCCCCUGAGCCUACUCUUCUCCAGACUAAACAAUCCCAGUUCCUUCAGCCCCUCCUCUUAAGACCCUCAUCAGAUUUGUUGCCCUUCUCUGGGCACACUCCAGGGCCUUGAUUAUUGUGAGGGGGUCCAAAACCGAACAUAGUACUCAAGGUGUGGCCUCACCCCUCUAAGUACAGAAGGGAAAAUGAACAGACUAAUGAAAGGCAUUUACAUCUCCUUCUAUACCCAAGGAAGUACACAACUGCAUCAACAUCUCAAGCCUUACACCAGAGCAGGAAAAAACACAGUAAAAUUGGAACAAAAGAAUGGAAAUGAAUUAAAAAAUUCUACUAUUCACAGAAUGGAUGAAGUUGGAAGGGUCCUCAGGUCCAUCUGGUCUAAUCAGGCAGGGCUACCUGGAGCAAAUUACCCAGGACUUAUAUUGCUGUGUAUUUUACUGCUGUGUUUUACGGCGCACUGGACAUUGAACGUCAAUUCCAGUUUAAAGCCUGUCAAGCACAGAUAGUGUGUUUGGAGUUUUCAAUUUGACUUUUGACCCAGACCUCACUGAGGACAAUGGGAGGUCUUCUGGGCUAGAUAAGCUGCAUUAAAGGCUCUUUCCUCAAGGACAGGUCAACACAUAGUCAUUACCAGGUUGUAAAAGAGAAUUGAGCUUACCUAAGGACUUGUUUGCUCAGAUUCAUUCUUCACUAUCAGCUUGAACAUAUCAGUGAAGAUCCUGUGGCGAACCUGCAGUUUUCCUUAUUUGGUUUGAUCUCAGGAUUUAUUUUAGUGAAUAAAAAUGUGUGACAGAGCAGUACUUGCAAAUCCCAUUACAUUCACUCUAUCUGUAUCACAUAUACUUAGUUUGUUUACAUGGAAGACAUGAUAUUAUUGUGUGAGUAAUGAAGGUGGGGAUAGGCUUUAUUUGUAGAAUGUAUCUUAAAAUUUUGGUAUUGUUGUCACAAAUAAUCUCAACAUGGAAAAUUCUGAUUCAGAAAUGGGGAUACAGAAAUGAGAAUAAUUUUUCUGGGCAGAAUCAAUCACUUAAUCUGUGCUGUGUAAUAGCAAGCACAGAAGCAUCCUGAGCUUGGUUAUAUACGAAAUGAAGACGAUGAUGAAGAUUGUACUAUGUUUUUGUGUUGACUUGCUCGAAAGGUUGAAAAAAAAAAGAGGCUGCUUUUCUGUACCUGCCCAGUGAAGAAGAGGAACAUCAAUCCUGCUUUCAAACACGAGUCGCAAGACAUACCCAGAUAUGCUACGCUUGGCUACACAACUGUUCAUUUCUCUUUUGUCUACUUUCAGCAAAAGGUUCAUCAAAACUGUGAAGAAAUUUGAUACUCCUGGUGACGAGUUCAGUGCUCCUUUUAGAGCUGAAUCAUGUGAAUUGGAAACUGAAAGGGGACAGAGAGCAUGGGACAGAAUGGGCACUGUUUUUAUCACAGGGGCAUUCUUCAUAGCCCUGGCAUCACUGGCAACCUGUGGGGUGGGGUCUCUGUCUGAGACACAGUUCAUGGAGUAAUGCGUGGAAGCGAGCAGCAGGCUCCCAUACAGUCAUAUUGCUGGCACCUGUUUCCAUGUUCAUUUUAUUAUACUUGUGCACUAAUAUUUCAGACUUGUUAUUUUUCCCCUUGCUCUUCUAGGGGGGUGACAGAGAAAAGUGGUGACCUCCUCUGUGUGUUUUGCCUCUGUGCUUGUUUCUAUUGACCAUCUGACUGGCCUCAUUGUCUUUCUGUUCUUUUCAGAGCACUGCUGAUGAUAUACUGCACUUUGUGGGAAUCCAGCCUACAGGGACAGCUUUACAAGCCAUUGCAGGCUUCAGGCAUCUAUUUUUAUCAAACUGAACAAUUGUUGCUUAGAAAAAAUGAGACCCCUACUUCCCGGGCCACGUGUGGCUGACCUCGGUUGGAAUCCAGUACUGACUUCAGGAUGCCAAGUUAGAAAUAAUUCCUGGAGUGAAAGCUCAGGGAGGAGUCAGUCCACACAGCUGCCAUAAAGGCUCCAGUCAGAGGAGCUACGCUCAAUAGAUUUCAUACUGUUUUUCACAUUCUGUAAUCUUACUGAGUCCCAGCAUCUACAUGGAUAUGUUCAUUUACAGAUGUUUCUCGUAAAAAAAAAUUACGGGUACAUGUUCAAAAAGAUGCACUAACUGUACACACCAGCAGCUAACACAGUAAAAGUAUUAGGACAUAAUGAACUGCUACAACCUCCUCUUUGCAGAAAGGCAGCGGCAGAGCAGUUAGAUGAAGGGCUCUAGUUUAUAGACUUUACCAUAAAAGACUUUUCCAAAUCUCAGCACAAAUCAGUAGCAUGGAGGAGACUAAAAAGAGCAGCUGAGUCAAAUCAGAAGCUGUGGAUGCUUCAUUCCCAGAAGCAGAGCUGGCUGGCUGGGACCCUGAGCAGCCUGGUCUGAUGGAGGGCAACCAGCCCAUGGCAGGGGGUUGAAGCUGGAUGAUCUAUAAGAUCCUUCCAACUUAAGCCAUUCUAUGAUUUUAUGAAGUACUUUGCUCUAACCACUACCUUCAUGAUCCGCCACUCUACCUGUUUCCAGCACAAAGCUCCUAACACAUUUCCCUUAGUUGCAUCGCAAUAUCAUUUUGAGUGAGGGAAAAUGUGCCGUUACUCAAGGCUGCACUUGAGUGAUAGCUUUAUCUAUGUUGUCUCUGUCGCCAGAACAUGGUCCUGUAUAGUCUCUGUACAA